rnacentral:rRNA from 1 species
ACACAUGCAAGUCGAACGGUGAAGCUUGGAGCUUGCUUCGAGUGGAUCAGUGGCGAACGGGUGAGUAACACGUGAGCAACCUGCCCCAGACUCUGGAAUAAGCGCUGGAAACGGCGUCUAAUACUGGAUAUGUGACGGACCUGCAUGGGUACCGUCUGGAAAGUUUUUCGGUUUGGGAUGGGCUCGCGGCCUAUCAGCUUGUUGGUGAGGUAAUGGCUCACCAAGGCGACGACGGGUAGCCGGCCUGAGAGGGCGACCGGCCACACUGGGACUGAGACACGGCCCAGACUCCUACGGGAGGCAGCAGUGGGGAAUAUUGCACAAUGGGCGAAAGCCUGAUGCAGCGACGCCGCGUGAGGGAUGACGGCCUUCGGGUUGUAAACCUCUUUCAGCAGGGAAGAAGCGAAAGUGACGGUACCUGCAGAAGAAGCACCGGCUAACUACGUGCCAGCAGCCGCGGUAAUACGUAGGGUGCGAGCGUUGUCCGGAAUUAUUGGGCGUAAAGAGCUUGUAGGCGGUUUGUCGCGUCUGCUGUGAAAAUCCGGGGCUCAACCCCGGACUUGCAGUGGGUACGGGCAGACUAGAGUGUGGUAGGGGAGACUGGAAUUCCUGGUGUAGCGGUGAAAUGCGCAGAUAUCAGGAGGAACACCGAUGGCGAA